rnacentral:lncRNA from 1 species
CCCCACUUGUAGGGCCGGGGAUGGGCGCCCCAUUGGCGGUGGUGGGACAUAGGGACCCAUAGGGACCCCAUAGAGCCCCAUAGAGACCCCAUAGAGCCCCAUAGAGUCCUCAUAGACCCCCAUAGAGUCCCCAUAGACCCCCAUAGACCCCCAUAGACCCCCAUGGAGACCCCAUAGACCCCCAUAGGGACCCCUUAGAGCCCCAUGGAGCCCCCAUAGACCCCCAUGGAGACGCCAUAGACCCCCAUAGAGAUCCCAUCGACCCCCAUAGAGCCUCAUAGACCCCCAUAGACUCCCAUAGAGCCCCAUAGACCCCAUAUCUUCCCCCCCCUUUUCCCCCCCCACUUGUAG